rnacentral:rRNA from 1 species
UACGUAGGGUGCAAGCGUUAAUCGGAAUUACUGGGCGUAAAGCGUGCGCAGGCGGUUUGGUAAGAAAGAUGUGAAAUCCCCGGGCUCAACCUGGGAAUUGCAUUUUUUGACUGCCCGGCUAGAGUGUGUCAGAGGGGGGUAGGAAUUCCACGUGUAGCAGUGAAAUGCGUAGAUAUGUGGAGGAAUACCGAUGGCGAAGGCAGCCCCCUGGGAUAACACUGACGCUCAUGCACGAAAGCGUGGGGAGCAAACAGG